GUCUUGGGAGAGGGCAGUGGUUGUGGGCUCUCGAAGGGUGAAAAUAACCGCCAUGUGAAUCGCACACAUUAUACCUGCCCUGAGAAAUACAGUCAGGGUAAACAGUUUCCUAAUUUUAAAAUGCGCUUAUUCCCUGAAUCGCUCUUCAACCACCCAUCCAUCCGUCUGUCCAUCCAUCUGGACCCCAUCCACUCAACCAUAGCUACUGGGCACCUCCUGGGUGCCAGGAGCUGAGCUGGGUGCUGGUGAUAAAUAACGAGGAACCUUGUGCUUGUGUUCACGGAGCUCGGAGGCUAGUGAAGAAGUCUGACAGUAACAAAUGCUUAUACCAAUCAUGCUUUUAUUACAAUCGUGAUCCAUUCUAGGAACAUAAGUGUUCUCAGCAGCUGGCACAGUGCCUGAUACAGACUGAGUGCCCAGGAAAUGCCCGCAGAAUGAAAGCAAGGAGUUAUCCUGCACAGACCCAUGGGAUCUUGUGGAGGAAACUGAGUCGCACGACGUGACGGAACUCGUGUUAGGUCUGUAGGACUCCAGAGGGAAUUCCUAGCUACUAUGCUCCACUGCCUUAUGUGAAAACCCCAGCUUCAUCUAUGCCGGAAAAUGCUGAGUAAAAGGCAGAAGUCCGCUGUCUACCGGUCUGUGGACGGCCCCAGCCAAGGCGGGACUCUGCAGAGGUCCUAUGGUAAGUAUCAGGGGACCCAGCCCAGCUUUCGCUCUGGGACACAAACCACGGAGAGUGUGUGUGGAGCAGCUGGUGCCUCUACUACCUGUGUGCCUUUUCCACGAGCAGUGCUUCUCGGGGCCUGGGGCAAGCCAGCUGGGGCAGACAAUUGCCAUCUGCCCAGAUGGCGUUAGAUCUGGGGGCAGGAGCAGACAGGAGGGGACCUCUUCCCCGCCCACCCACACACAUUGCUAAUUGAAGACGAGUUUCUGGGUUAUAAGUGGGGCGAGCUGGGGGAGGCCUGAGGACAGCCUACGUGGCCCUUUUGUGACAAGAUGUCGUGGUUCGCACCUGACGGCUUCCCAGGGAUGUGGACCUCCCAGGGAGGCCAGUCUGGCAUGGCAGCUGGUGUGCCCACUCAUAAACCAGAACCAGGGCUGGGACCCUUCUGUCCUCACUGCCACUUCAUUUCGAGGGCCUACUUUGGCCUCCCCC